rnacentral:rRNA from 1 species
GGUCCCGCCUGCCCAGUGACUCUUUAAACGGCCGCGGUAUCCUAACCGUGCAAAGGUAGCAUAAUCACUUGUCCCCUAAAUAGGGACUGGUAUGAACGGCUAAAUGAGGACUAAACUGUCUCUUGCGAACUGGCCAAUGAAAUUGAUUUUCCAGUACAAAAGCUGGAAUAUACCCAUAAGACGAGAAGACCCUGUGGAGCUUCAAAACCAAAUCACCCAGCAUGCUCAUUGGAUUUUUAGUUGGGGCGACUUCGGAAUAUAAUAAAACUUCCAAAAUAAAUUUAUUUCAUCAAGAUUAACACACCAAAGUUUCUUUAUAGACCCAGCAACUAAUUUUAUUUGUCUGACCAAUGAACCAAGUUACCCCAGGGAUAACAGCGCAAUCUCCUUUUAGAGUCCAUAUCGACAAGGGG